AUAUCUUCUCGGCUAUUUAGCUAAGAUCAUGUUUAUAAACUGUUCUUAUCAGAGUAACUCCUGAUACUGCCUUCGGGCAAAGGAAUAGAAAUUAUAUCUCAAGGUUGUUUCCCUGGAGUUCCACGUUUCCAGGGAGCAACUCUUUUUUUCUCCUAGGAGCAGAACAUCU
rfam:Leishmania amazonenesis T2 snRNA gene.